GACGAACGCUGGCGGCGUGCCUAAUACAUGCAAGUUGAGCGCUGAAGGUUGGUACUUGUACCAACUGGAUGAGCAGCGAACGGGUGAGUAACGCGUGGGGAAUCUGCCUUUGAGCGGGGGACAACAUUUGGAAACGAAUGCUAAUACCGCAUAAAAACUUUAAACACAAGUUUUAAGUUUGAAAGAUGCAAUUGCAUCACUCAAAGAUGAUCCCGCGUUGUAUUAGCUAGUUGGUGAGGUAAAGGCUCACCAAGGCGAUGAUACAUAGCCGACCUGAGAGGGUGGUCGGCCACAUUGGGAAUGAGACACGGCCCAAACUCCUACGGGAGGCAGCAGUAGGGAAUCUUCGGCAAUGGACGAAAGUCUGACCGAGCAACGCCGCGGGAGUGAAGAAGGUUGUCGGAUCGUAAAACUCUGUUGGUAGAGAAGAACGUUGGUGAGAGUGGAAAGCUCAUCAAGUGACGGUAACUACCCAGAAAGGGACGGCUAACUACGUG
rnacentral:rRNA from 1 species